rnacentral:rRNA from 1 species
AGAGACAGCAGUCGCCGCGGGAAUACAGAGGGUGCGAGCGUUAAUCGGAUUUACUGGGCGUAAAGCGUGCGUAGGCGGCUUCUUAAGUCGGAUGUGAAAUCCCUGAGCUUAACUUAGGAAUUGCAUUCGAUACUGGGAAGCUAGAGUAUGGGAGAGGAUGGUAGAAUUCCAGGUGUAGCGGUGAAAUGCGUAGAGAUCUGGAGGAAUACCGAUGGCGAAGGCAGCCAUCUGGCCUAAUACUGACGCUGAGGUACGAAAGCAUGGGGAGCAAACAGGAUUAGAUACCCCGGUAGUCCCUGUCUCUUAUAC